rnacentral:rRNA from 1 species
CUCGGCAAACACAAGCCUCGCCUGUUUACCAAAAACAUCGCCUCUUGUAUUACCAAAAUAAGAGGUCCCGCCUGCCCUGUGACUAUAUGUUCAACGGCCGCGGUAUUUUAACCGUGCAAAGGUAGCGCAAUCACUUGUCCUUUAAAUGAAGACCUGUAUGAACGGCAUAACGAGGGCUUUACUGUCUCCUUUUUCCAGUCAACGAAACUGAUCUUCCCGUGCAGAAGCGGGAAUAAACACAUAAGACGAGAAGACCCUGUGAAGCUUCAAGACAAAGACAGACCAAACUAAUCACCUCAAACAAAAUGAACCAAAAUACUGGACCCUGUCCUUACGUCUUCGGUUGGGGCGACCACGGAGAAACAAAAAACCCCCAUGUGGAUUAGGAAUACCACCUCCUCCUUUCCCUCCUACAACCAAGAGCCAUGACUCAAAGUAACAGAACUUUUGACCAAUCAUGAUCCGGCAAUGCCGAUUAACAAACCAAGUUACUCCAGGGAUAACAGCGCAAUCCCCUUCUAGAGCCCAUAUCGACAAGGGGGUUUACGACCUCGAUGUUGGAUCAGGACAUCCUAAUGGUGCAGCCGCUAUUAAGGGUUCGUUUGUUCAACGAU